rnacentral:rRNA from 1 species
UACGAAGGGGGCUAGCGUUGUUCGGAUUUACUGGGCGUAAAGCGCACGUAGGCGGAUUGUUAAGUGAGGGGUGAAAUCCCAGGGCUCAACCCUGGAACUGCCUUUCAUACUGGCAACCUCGAGUCCGGAAGAGGUGAGUGGAACUCCUAGUGUAGAGGUGGAAUUCGUAGAUAUUAGGAAGAACACCAGUGGCGAAGGCGGCUCACUGGUCCGGUACUGACGCUGAGGUGCGAAAGCGUGGGGAGUAAACAGG